AUAAUGCAAGAUGAAAACUCAGAUGUCAAUGUCAACAUCUAAAAAUUCUGGAAAAAUAAUCACUAGGGAAUAAUGAAGUACUGACCAAUUUACCCACAUCAUUCCAUCCCGGACAAGAAGGAAUAAAACAAGUUGUUUUCGCUUGUGAUGUUUGAAUACUGACCAAGGCAGAGAUAUUUCUUCAUCAAAUUCCUUGGUCAUCAAGAAAGCAAUUUUUGGUUGG